rnacentral:misc_RNA from 1 species
AAGUCGUAACAAGGUUUCCGUAGGUGAACCUGCGGAAGGAUCAUUACUGAGAAAAGAGGCCUCCGGGUCUCCCUCACUAAUACCCUGCCUUCCAACGAGAGCCCUCAUUGGGGGGCUCGACUUGAAGUUGGAGGGUCUGAAGAGACCCUCCGCCCCAUAUAAAAUUCUGAAUGUUUGUGCGGUCUGAGUAUAUAUUCUAAUAUAUGAAAACUUUCAACAACGGAUCUCUUGGUUCCC